rnacentral:rRNA from 1 species
AAUGAACGCUGGCGGCAUGCCUAACACAUGCAAGUCGAACGAAGCCUUCGGGCUUAGUGGCGCACGGGUGCGUAACGCGUGGGAAUCUGCCCCUUGGUUCGGAAUAACAGUUAGAAAUGACUGCUAAUACCGGAUAACGACGUAAGUCCAAAGAUUUAUCGCCGAGGGAUGAGCCCGCGUAGGAUUAGCUAGUUGGUGUGGUAAAAGCGCACCAAGGCGACGAUCCUUAGCUGGUCUGAGAGGAUGAUCAGCCACACUGGGACUGAGACACGGCCCAGACUCCUACGGGAGGCAGCAGUGGGGAAUAUUGGACAAUGGGCGAAAGCCUGAUCCAGCAAUGCCGCGUGAGUGAUGAAGGCCUUAGGGUUGUAAAGCUCUUUUACCCGGGAUGAUAAUGACAGUACCGGGAGAAUAAGCCCCGGCUAACUCCGUG